UAAAAGAUAAGCUAAUAACAUAAGCUAAUGGGCUCAUACCCCGUAAAUGAAAGUAAUAACCUUUCUCUUUUUA
rnacentral:tRNA from 1 species